CCCAGCGUGGUGUAGCAGUUUUAUGAACACUGGACUAUGACUCUGGAGAACAGGGUUCGAAUCCCUGCUCGGUCA